rnacentral:tRNA from 1 species
GGGCCCAUAGCUCAAUUGGUUAGAGCCGCGGACUCAUAAUCCGUUGGUUGCAGGUUCGAGUCCUGCUGGGCCCACCA